GCAGGAGAUGGGCGCCCCUCUCCACUCCUGUCCCGCUCACUGCUAACAUGUCAGCUAGAAAAAUGGCAGAGUUCCAGGCUUCCUCCCUUCGUGGUGCAGCUGGAAGGCCACCUCUGGGAUGGACGGGGAUGGAGAGCGCGUGUUCACGGCACCCUCACCUGCCAGGGCCCCGCUCCCCACCGCCAGGAGGAGUCCAGGAGCCUUUCUGUGGGAGGUCCCCAGGAGCUGGGAGCUCUGUCUGCACUUUCCCAGGAGAGGGCAGCCUCUGGACGGAACGGAGCUCAGGGGGGCAGCGCUGUCCUUGGAGAUGCCAGCCCCGUGCUGGUGCACCUGCCAGGUGUGGGAGGUCAGCGGGGUUCAGCAGGCACCAAGCACCCACUGUGCAAGGCACUGGCUGUUGCGUGCCCCACGUGAUCUCAUUUUGCUCUCGAGCCACCGGGUGAGGGGAUGACCCAGCCGACUGCGUGGGGCAGGGGCUGGCCUCUCCCACCACUCCUGUCCCCCAUGGGUCACCAGCCAUGACAGCACCAUGCACGCAGGGCCCGUCUCCCCAGCGCUGCGUGGGACCUGGCAGUGGCGGGCACGCCAAUGUCUUUUGGAUGAAUGACUCCCAGGGACCAGGAGUUGUGGGUCCUGGACCCAGCCCUUGCCCAGUGCUCUGGCCCCACAUCCUCAGUGGCACCCGCUGAGGGCCUGGCAUCUGGUGUUGGCUUCCAACUGGGCCACUUCCAGCUCGUUACCAUUAACGUUUGGGGACACCCAGCAUACGGCAGAUGCCAUUAGAAAAGCAAAUUCCGUUCUGUCAGGAAGCAAAGCUAACAGCACAAAGCAGGUUAGGAGGGGAAGAUUGAUGAGCCAAAGCCCCUGGAAAACAAAUGAGGGAAGUUUUCUUUACCAGAUAACUUUUAUUUAUUACACUUGCUUUUUGUUAAAGACACAGACACCCUGCCGGUCUCUGGACCCAGGCCUGGAGAGAUGCGCUGCUGGGACUGGGCAGGAUUUGUCAAGACUCCAGACUCCAUGAAGAGGAAAUAUGAAUUGGACCUCAACCUUCCCCCAGAGCAGAGACACCUCUCGGCCAGAUCCCUGGGCAUGCUCUCAGCAUCCUCCUUCAACCCUCCACCCCGAUCUGAGCACCCCCCAAGGCCAGGCCGGCCCCUGGAAGCCCUGGGAUAGUCAACAAAUCUUCCUCCCAAUUUCAUAGAUUCAGGGCCAACAACAAGAUGCUUGCACAAUGCGAAAGGCAUAAAAUGUUCAGAUUUAUUGCUUUGAGAGUUUGGUUUGUCUCCUGGGCCUGGUUGACGCAGCUUCCUUCAGGUUUCAGAGCAUUUUGUUUAAAAAAAAAAAAAAAAGAAUUUUGACAGCAAUGUUUUGCCUCAUAUUUUCACAAGGCUUUAUAGUUUACAAAGGACAUUCACAUAGAGGAAUCAUCACUAUAUGUAUUGAAUUUCUACACUGGGGAGCUCAACCCUGGAAAUCACCCUCCUUUUCCACAGAUGGGGAAGCAGAGGCUCAGAGAGGUUAAGGGCCUUGCCUAAGGUCACACAGCCCAGGGAAAGGUUUCACCCUGCUCUUGGUCUCUUCCGUCCUGCCACUCUGCUUUUCUCAUCUUCAGCCUGCCCUAAUGCACAGUGGUCUGCAGACAGACAGUGAGUGAGAACAAAACAAAAUAAAAGCCAGAGGCAAAUUGCAGAAAACAAUCAGAGGCUGGGAUGAGUA